AGGAGGCUUUUGAAUGUGGUAGUAUCUUGGUAAUGGUUGCUCUCCAUUGGUCUUCUACAAUCAUUGCACUUGAUCUUGUGUAUUGUGUGUGAUUUGGCAGAUUUUAGAGUGUGCAAAUGGCUCAAGAUGUGAUGGGAAACAUGGGAGCCCGAUUACUACUGCGACCGCUUAGGAGUUUAUUGGGCGAUAUCAAUUUUUGGUGCCGUUGCCAGGGAGGUAAUUCUACAAUUAAAGGAAAAUAGAUAUGGGAAGAAGGAUUCGUAGUAGCUUGGCUUGUGUAUUAAGGAUGAAGGGAUUCGAUGGGCUGCGUGAUGAUUCGAGGACGACGUUAUUUUUAGUCUCUUUAAAUUAUGUUUUUAUGUAUUUUUCACAUUUAGCUUUGUAAACAAUUUCCUUUAGUUCAAAGUUAUGUUUUAUUUUAAUACAAUGGGAUCCCACACCCCGCAUUUAUAUAUUUCAAUAUUUACUUUGGAGUUUUUAAUAAAGUUGUGUGAAUAUUUCUUAUGUAUGUUUUCUCAAAAAUAGUCCAAGGUCUUAGAAUUAGUUGGGUCAUUACAGUUGGUAUCAGAGCAAUGAUUCAUUCGCAUGAAGUUCUCCUUGAUACACAUGCUCAAGCUCUGAAUCUAACUGCCAAUGAAAAUAGUUAUGAUGGUGGAAGGAUUCAUGGCAGCUUGGGGUUGUGUAUUGAGGAAGAAUGGAGUUGAUGGACUGUGUGAACGAUUCGAGGACGACGUUGUUUAUAGUCUUUUUAAUUAUGUUUUCUAUGUAUUUUCCGCACUUGAUUUUGUAACAAAUUUAUUUAAGAUUUAAGUUAUGUUUUAUUUUCAAACAAUAGGAUCCCAUACCAUGAAUUUAUGUACUUCAACAUUUUCUUAGAGUUUUUAAUAAA